rnacentral:tRNA from 1 species
GCUGGGUACUGCUCAGUGAUAGAGCAUGUGUCGAGCAUGCACAAGGCUCUGGGUUCAAUCCCUAGCCACAACA